GCCAGCGGCAAUCAGAAAAACGUUUUAUUGGCUGUCCAAAGAUUGCCCACAGAUAAUGUGCAGAGCCCGCAUUGAAAUGCAAUAAAUCUGCGCCGAGCAGCCUUUAACUUUCCCGAAGAACAGCCCCAUCUGGCUGUCCUUUCCCGGCUUCGGGCUUACGGAUUUCAACUGACUGCAGGAGCCUCGAUUCCUCGGUUACAGGAAGAAGCCUGUGGGAUCCUGCACAUGUUUACAUGACUCUGGCCUGACUGCAUCGCGGCUGCAUGCAAAAUUAAUAAGCCAUAACAAGUUGGUUUAUGCUGCGGCUUCCCGGGUCGGGGAAACCGUGCUCGUUCGGGGUGAAUUAAUUAACGAGCGAUGCCGUGGGAGGAGGCCCAAAGUUGUGCAUCCCAGAAAUCUCUGGCAUGUCCUCGGCCAUGUUUCCUAGGAAAGAAGCUGCUGAAGCUCGCUGAAGUAAUGGCUGAGUAAUGGUUGAGCUUACCAAUUUACUCAUAACCAAGUUUGCCAAGCCAUCAGAACUAAUAAAAAGGAUUUCGUGUGAAGAGAGUUAAAUGGCUAAAGUUAGGAUCUUCAAAUGGCACCUUUAGUUUGCAUAAUAACGUAUGCGAAGUGUUUGUUUGAUGUUUGCAGAAAUACUUUGUCUUUCUUAAACAAAAGAAAUUGCAAAAAUAAGUACUUACCUUAAUAAUACUUAAUAA